rnacentral:tRNA from 1 species
GGGGGUAUGGCGCAGCUGGUAGCGCAUCUGCUUUGCGAGCAGAGGGUCAGGGGUUCGAGUCCCCUUACCUCCA